GUCCACGCUGUAAACGAUGGGCACUAGGUGUCCGGGGUAUUGACCCCCUGGGUGCCGCAGCUAACGCAUUAAGUGCCCCGCCUGGGGAGUACGGUCGCAAGAUUAAAACUCAAAGGAAUUGACGGGGCCCGCACAAGCGGUGGAGCAUGUGGUUCAAUUCGACGCAACGCGAAGAACCUUACCUGGGCUAGACAACAGUGGACCGUCCUAGAAAUAGGAUUUUCCCUCGGGACCGCUGGUUCAGGUGCUGCAUGGCUGUCGU
rnacentral:rRNA from 1 species